rnacentral:tRNA from 1 species
GCCAAUGUGGCUUAGUGGUUUGACUGUUGGACUAUGACUCUGGAGACCAGGGUUUGAUUCCCAGUUCGGCCA